rnacentral:rRNA from 1 species
AUUGAACGCUGGCGGAAUGCUUUACACAUGCAAGUCGAGCGGCAGCGCGGCCUUCGGGCUGGCGGCGAGCGGCGAACGGGUGAGUAAUGCAUCGGAACAUGCCCAGUCGUGGGGGAUAACACUUCGAAAGAAGUGCUAAUACCGCAUACGUCCUGAGGGGGAAAGCGGGGGAUCGCAAGACCUCGCGCGAUUGGAGUGGCCGAUGUCAGAUUAGCUAGUUGGUGGGGUAAGGGCCUACCAAGGCGACGGUCUGUAGCUGGUCUGAGAGGAUGAUCAGCCACACUGGGACUGAGACACGGCCCAGACUCCUACGGGAGGCAGCAGUGGGGAAUUUUGGACAAUGGGGGCAACCCUGAUCCAGCCAUUCCGCGUGAGUGAAGAAGGCCUUCGGGUUGUAAAGCUCUUUCGGCAGGAACGAAACGGUGGGCUCUAACAUAGUCCGCUAAUGACGGUACCUGAAGAAGAAGCACCGGCUAACUACGUG